GGGAAGUGGAGAGGCAGCAGAGAAACGAAACUUAGACAGACUUUGCUGGAAACAAAACUGAAGGUUAAGAAGAAACGUGUGGCAAAGAGCGACUGUGCUCAGCCCGAUCACGCCCACACACACAAUGCAGGCUGAGGGUGUUAGCUGCUUUCCUUUGGCUGUCAGAAUUGCAAUGACAGAGCGGGGGGGGGUUCAAGGUAUAAAAGGAGGUUACAAUGUUUGAUCUGUCCUUUCUAUCCUGCGGAGCCCUCCGCUUAAGGAUUUGGGACUGGUGACCCUCUGUCCGGUCACUAUUGAGUUCCCACUCUGUUUGCUUGCUGUGUAUUUACUUUGAAGAGGAGGAGAGGAGGAGGAGGAAAGGAGAUGAAAAGCCUGCUCCCAAGGGCAGGUCACUGGGUCCCUGGCCAUGUCCUAGUGGGGGGUGUUGGGAGUCUGUCCCCUAGCAGGACCUGGUCAGUCGGGCCUGGUGAGCAGAGCCAGGAGCUGCAGAUUAACUGAUCCGCAGCGACCUUGACGCACCGACGAACCCAAGCACCAGACACCCGAAGACACCUGAGACGACUAGAUGAAGCUCAUCCGAAGCACAAAGCUUAUAUUACUUACCUGAAUACUUAAACGAAAUGUACCCUAGAAUGCCGCCAGAUGAAGAACCAUUCUUUUCUUUUUUUGGUUGGCUUCUGGUUGUCUGCGUUGCUUGGUUUCGGCGGCUCAUGGGGGGCCUGCUGAAGAAAACGCAUUCCCAAAUACACUGCAAUGCUGAAUGCAUAAUUUCCAUGAAAAUGUAAAAAUGUUAAAUAAAAAUUGAAAAAAACAUUGCAACAUGAACAAACUUACCUGUGCCAUUUGUUCUGUAGUUGUCAUUUUGGAUAUUUAUACACUCUGAUAUUGAUGCCACAUUGCAGAGAACAGCUGCAAAGUUAUAACAUCGCAAAUAAUACUUAGUUAGUAGUGUAAGUAAGUAAUAUCCAAGCCACUUGACACAUCUUUAAACUCAUACAUACUGACAAUUUAAUAUCAGUCUCA
rnacentral:lncRNA from 1 species